UCCAGACUCCUACGGGAGACAGCAGUGGGGGAUAUUGGACAAUGGGGGGAACCCUGAUCCAGCGAUGCCGCGUGAGGGAAGAAGGUUUUCGGAUUGUAAACCUCUGUGGACAGGGACGAUAAUGACGGUACCUGUCAAGAAAGCCACGGCUAACUACGUGCCAGCAGCCGCGGUAAUACGUAGGUGGCAAGCGUUAUCCGGAUUUACUGGGUGUAAAGGGCGUGUAGGCGGGACUGCAAGUCAGAUGUGAAAACCACGGGCUCAACCUGUGGCCUGCAUUUGAAACUGUAGUUCUUGAGUACUGGAGAGGCAGACGGAAUUCCUAGUGUAGCGGUGAAAUGCGUAGAUAUUAGGAGGAACACCAGUGGCGAAGGCGGUCUGCUGGACAGCAACUGACGCUGAGGCGCGAAAGCGUGGGGAGCAAACAGGAUUAGAUACCCCCGUAC
rnacentral:rRNA from 1 species